rnacentral:rRNA from 1 species
CCUACGGGGGGCUGCAGUGGGGAAUAUUGGACAAUGGGCGAAAGCCUGAUCCAGCCAUGCCGCGUGUGUGAAGAAGGCCUUCGGGUUGUAAAGCACUUUCAGUGGGGAAGAAAGCCUUGGGGCUAAUACCCUCGAGGAAGGACAUCACCCACAGAAGAAGCACCGGCUAACUCCGUGCCAGCAGCCGCGGUAAUACGGAGGGUGCGAGCGUUAAUCGGAAUUACUGGGCGUAAAGCGCGCGUAGGCGGUCUGAUAAGCCGGUUGUGAAAGCCCCGGGCUCAACCUGGGAACGGCAUCCGGAACUGUCAGGCUAGAGGGCAGGAGAGGAAGGUAGAAUUCCCGGUGUAGCAGUGAAAUGCGUAGAGAUCGGGAGGAAUACCAGUGGCGAAGGCGGCCUUCUGGACUGACACUGACGCUGAGGUGCGAAAGCGUGGGUAGCAAACAGGAUUAGAUACCCCUGUAGUC